rnacentral:rRNA from 1 species
AGACGUAGGGGGCAAGCGUUGCUCGGAAUCACUGGGCUUAAAGGGCGCGUAGGCGGUUAUGCAAGUCCGAGGCUGAAGGCCCCGGCCCAACCGGGGAAAGGCCUUGGAAACUGCAUGACUUGAGCGAGCGAGGGGAGGGCGGAAUUCCCGGUGUAGCGGUGAAAUGCGUAGAUAUCGGGAGGAAGGCCUGUGGCGAAGGCGGCCCUCUGGCGCUUAGCUGACGCUGAGGCGCGAAAGCGUGGGGAGCAAACAGGAUUAGAAACCCUAGUAGUCC